rnacentral:rRNA from 1 species
AAAACUUUUCGCUAAUAGAAGAGCCUAUGUAGGAUUAGGUAGUUGGUAUUUUGGGUAAAAGCCUACCAAGCCUAAGAUCCUUAGCUGUUCUGAGAGGUUGAACAGNCACACUGGGACUGAGACAAGGGCCAGGCUCCAUUUGGAGCCAGCAGUGAGGAAUUUUGGACAAUGAGCGAAAGCUUGAUCCAGCAAUACUACAUGAGUGAAGAAGGCUUUCAAGUUGUAACACUCUUUGGUUGAGGAGGAUAAUGACAGUACUCAACAAAAUAGUCCCGGCUAACUUCGUGCCAGCAGCCGCGGUAAGACGAAGGGGGCGAGCGUUAUCCGGAAUGACUGGGCGUAAAGGGUCCGUAGGCAGCAUUUUUUGUUGGAAGUUAAAUAAAAAAGCUUAACUUUUUUCCGCUUCUAAAACGUAAAUGCUUUGAGUUUGAUAGAAGAUAGCAGAAUUUCACAAGGAGGGGUGAUAUCCAGAGAUCUGUGAAGGAAUAUCAGAUGCGAAGGCGGCUAUCUAGAUCAACACUGACGUUGAGGGACGAAAGCAUGGGGAGCAAACAGGAUUAGAUACCCUGGUAGUCCAUGCCCUAAAAGAUGAGUGUUCGUGCUUAGAGAACUUUAGGCACUUAGUUAACACGUUAAACACUCCGCCUGGGGAGUACGAUCGCAAGGUUGGAACUCAAAGGAAUUGACGGGGGCCUAUACAAGUGGUGGAGCAUGUGGUUUAAUGCGAUAAUACGCGCGAAACCUUACCAGUUCUUGACAUAAAAA